UGGGCUUGGCACUUUGAAGAGAAGGGGCAUGAACCACAAUCUUCAUACACCUUGAUCAUGUUACGGACCUUUUACAACUGAAAUUGGAAAGUAGUGAUAGGUUCAGGAAGUGCAUCGAGAAGGCUAAUCUAAAAUCUCAAGCUGGUUCCUCAAAAAAAAGAAAAAUAAGCCCUCCAGUUGGCGCUACUGCUGGUGCAGGAGAGCAGAAUAUUCUCGCGGCAGAUGUAAGUUCGGUAAAAUCAGCCGAUGUCCCUCCAGUUGGCGCUACUGCUUGUGCAGGAGAGCAGAACGAUCUCGCGGCAGAUGUAAGUUUGGAGGGAUCCUUGGUAAAUUCACCUGUCGGAAAUCAAUCGAGCUACCACACAGAAACAGGUGGUAAAUACGCUGUUAUUGAUCCAUUUACAUUUGCAGAAACAGAUGUUUCAGGUCCAGGGCAGAGCGCAUGUAGAGAUGGUUCUACUAUUUCUCAUCAUGUUGAUCCUGCCUCUAACCCCCUCUCAAACUGCACUGUUGUCAAAGAAAAUGGUACAGUCCAUCUACAGGAUCGUAAGGAAUUUUUUCCAAUUUUCAUUGUAGCGAGCUUCUAAAAUAGCAUGACUUCUGAUAUUCAUGUCCUCACGUCUUUGGCAGGAGCACUUCAGGACCAGCUCACCUUAGAUAGAAGGGAUGACUGUGCCACCACAGGUAGUGCACAACUAUCCCCUUAAUUUAAAUUAGUCCCUACCCCAACUUGCUGCUGCUGUUAUUUAUCCAUUUACAUUUGCAUAAACAGAGGUUUCAGAUCCAGGGCAGAGCGCAGGUGGUAACCACGGCAUCGUGAAUUCCCCUGUAGUACCUGAGGUGCACGAAGGUGAUGACCUCUACCUCGUAUCUGAUCAGCACUCACCCCUAAUCUCUCGUCUCUUGGACGAACACACAUGGAAAAAAUGGUCAUGGUACAGGAAACCUAGCUUUCUACACAAUUUUAUUUAUUUGUGAAGUUCUGCAUGGUAUUCCAGAAAGCUUAUAAAUCCUCUGAGUUCAAAUCACAGAUUACCAAAACUCCUGACAACCCAAUUCCAAGUGUCUGAUUAUCAUAACUUUUGAUAUGUGUUUCCUCAUGUUUGUGGCAGCAGAUUACGAGAUAGUAGUUGGUGUCAACCAGGACACCAUGAAUUCCCCUGUGGUGCCCUCCACUGCAUCCUCUAUGGAGAAACAAGAGGAAGAAGGUGACCAAAGCAUUGUGGAUGCACGUGGGGAUACAUCGCCUAACAAUGCUCCCCAGGAUGUAGUACCUGUGGUGCACCAAGCUGUAGUACCUGUGGUUCCCCGAAGGAGGGGGGUUACCACCGGUUUGGGAUGCACUUUCUACGUUGCGAAGCAAAAGGAUAAGAGGCAUCGAUAGGGAAAAAGACUUUGUGUAUGGUUCUGAUCAAGACUACCCCCAGAGUGAAGAAAAAAUAGAAGCAAAGAGAAAUGCUGGAGGCCGCACUAGAAGGAAAAGAAAAUGAUACGAAGGCAAAACAAACAAAGCUGUUAAAUUAAUUUCUAUGGAAUAUAUACCUAGCACCAGUACUUCUGUAUACUUGUGUUGAAGUUGCACUUGUAUCCUUCUGUAUAUCGGCUAAACGCCUGCUACAGUGCUACUACCAACUUCUGUAUACUUGUGUUGUGUUGAAGUUGCACCUGUAUACUUCUGUAUAUCUGGCUAAACGCCUGUACAGUCUGGUGACCUCACUUUGAUCUCCUCCGGCACCGCGCCACCACUCUAGCCUCAUGAGCCACCCCUUCUGUAUAUCAGUCUUCCGCUCCGCCGGCCCCCGUGCGUGAAGCCUUCUGCAGGAGGCGAAGCAGCAACGGGAGGGGAUUCCAAGCACGUGGCGCGCGGGGUGAGGGCGUGGUGCUCAGUGACGGGAGAGUGGCAGCAGUAGACAGCAAGUCCAGCAGCUCUCCAAUCUCCUCUCCUAUAACCUUUAUAGGGGGAAAAGCUCAAAAACCAGGCUCCAGCAGAUCCCCAAUCAUCUCCACGAAAUUUCGGCGUCCCUGAUUCCACUGCCAAUUCCACCCCCCUUCUCCCCUACAGAUCGGGGCGCCCGAGCACUCCCCUAUCCACGGCAGGGAGCAACCAUCGCUCCCAGAUUCUUCCUCCCGCCACCACCCGCGUCAACAGGUUCGUCCCCGUCCUCGUUUGGCAGGUCGCGG
rnacentral:lncRNA from 1 species